rnacentral:rRNA from 1 species
AAUGAACGCUGGCGGCAUGCCUAACACAUGCAAGUCGAACGAAGUGCCUUCGGGUACUUAGUGGCGCACGGGUGCGUAACGCGUGGGAAUCUGCCCCUUGGUUCGGAAUAACAGUUGGAAACGACUGCUAAUACCGGAUGACGACGUAAGUCCAAAGAUUUAUCGCCGAGGGAUGAGCCCGCGUAGGAUUAGGUAGUUGGUGUGGUAAAGGCGCACCAAGCCGACGAUCCUUAGCUGGUCUGAGAGGAUGAUCAGCCACACUGGGACUGAGACACGGCCCAGACUCCUACGGGAGGCAGCAGUGGGGAAUAUUGGACAAUGGGCGAAAGCCUGAUCCAGCAAUGCCGCGUGAGUGAUGAAGGCCUUAGGGUUGUAAAGC